GAUGAACGCUGGCGGCGUGCCUAAUACAUGCAAGUAGAACGCUGACGGAGGAGCUUGCUCUUCUGGAUGAGUAGCGAACGGGUGAGUAACGCGUAGGUAACCUGCCCGGUAGCGGGGGAUACCCAUUGGAAACGCAAGCGAAUACCGCAUCACACCACUUUUCACAUGACAACUCUUUAAAAGGGGCACCCCCUCCACUACCUAAUGGACACCCGUUGUAUUAGCUCGUUGGGGAGUUAACGCCUCACCAAGGCGACGAUACAUAGCCGACCUGAGAGGGUGAUCGGCCACACUGGGACUGAGACACGGCCCAGACUCCUACGGGAGGCAGCAGUAGGGAAUCUUCGGCAAUGGACGGAAGUCUGACCGAGCAACGCCGCGUGAGUGAAGAAGGUUUUCGGAUCGUAAAGCUCUGUUGUAAGAGAAGAACGAGUGUGAGAGUGGAAAGUUCACACUGUGACGGUAUCUUAACAGAAAGAGACGGCUAACUACGUG
rnacentral:rRNA from 1 species